UACGUAGGGGGCAAGCGUUGUCCGGAAUCAUUGGGCGUAAAGAGCGUGUAGGCGGUCCGGUAAGUCGGCUGUGAAAGUCCAGGGCUCAACCCUGGGAUGCCGGUCGAUACUGCCGGACUAGAGUUCGGAAGAGGCGAGUGGAAUUCCCGGUGUAGCGGUGAAAUGCGCAGAUAUCGGGAGGAACACCUAUGGCGAAGGCAGCUCGCUGGGACGUUACUGACGCUGAGACGCGAAAGCUAGGGGAGCAAACGGG
rnacentral:rRNA from 1 species